AGCAAAGACUUGGAACCAACCCAAAUGUCCAACAAUGAUAAACUGGAUUAAGAAUAUGUGGCACAUAUGCACCAUGGAAUACUAUGCAGCCAUAAGAAAUGAUGAGUUCCUGUCCUUUGUAGGGACAUGGAUGAAACUGGAAAUCAUCAUCCUCAGUAAACUAUCACAAGUACAAAGAACCAAACACCCCAUGUUCUCACUCAUAGGUGGGAAUUGAACAUUGAGAACACAUGGACACAGGAAGGGAAACAUCACACUCUGGGGACUGUUGUGGGGUGGGGGGAGGGGGGAGUAAUAGCAUUAGGAGAUAUACCUAAUGCUAUAUGACAAGUUAAUGGGUGAAGCACACCAGCAUGGCACAUGUAUACAUAUGUAACCUGCACAUUGUGCACAUGUACCCUAAAACUUAAAGUAUAAUAAUAAUAAAAUUAAAAAUAAAAAAAAAUGUGGCACAUAUACAUCAUGGAAUACUAUGCAGCCAUAAAAAAUGAUGAGCUCAUGUCCUUUGUAGGGACAUGGAUGAAGCUGGAAACCAUCAUUCUCAGCAAGCUAUCACAAGGACAAAAAACCAAACAUCACAUGUUCUCACUCAUAGGUGGGAAUUGACCAAUGAGAACACAUGGACACAGGAAGGGGGACAUCACACUGGGGGACUGUUGUGUGGUGGAGGGAGUGGGGAGGGAUAGCAUUAGGAGAUAUACCUAAUGCUAAAUGACAAGUUAAUGGGUGCAGCACACCAACAUGGCACAUGUAUACAUAUGUAACAAACGUGCAGGUUGUGCACAUGUACCCUAAAACUUAAAGUAUAAUAACAAUAAAAUAAAAUAAAAUAAAAAGAAAAGAAAAUGUGGCACAUAUACACCAUGGAAUACUAUGCAGCCAUAAAAAAGGAUGAGUUCAUGUCCUUUGUAGGGACAUGGAUGAAGCUGGAAACCAUCAUUCUCAGCAAACUAUCACAAGGACAGAAAACCAAACACCGCAUCUUCUCACUCAUAGGUGGGAAUUGAAAAAUGAGAACACUUGGACACAGGAAGAGGAACAUCAUACACCAGGGCCUGUUGUGGGGUGGGGGAGUGGGGAGGGAUAGCAUUAGGAGAGAUACCUAAUGUAAAUGACGAGUUAAUGGGUGCAGCACACCAUUAUGGCACAUGUAUACAUAUGUAACAAACCUUCAGGUUGUGCACAUGUACCCUAGAACUUAAAGUAUGAUUAAAAAAAAAAAAAGAAAAAGAAAAAGGUUGAGGUUUGAGGUUAGGCUCAGUUUUAUAGAAAAUGACCUCUUUCUUUCUCUCUGUCUCUCUCUCUCUCAUUAACUAAAGUCCGUGGUUUACUUAGAUUUCCUUGGGUUUUACCUAAUGUCCUUUUCCUGUUCCAGGACCCAUUGGAUAUCACAUGACAUUUAGUCAUCAUGUCUCUUUGGACUCCUCUUUGCUGUGACAGUUUCUCAGGAUACCCUUGUUUUUGAUGACCUUGACAAUUUUCAGGAGUGCUGGUCAGAUAUUUUGUAGGAUGCCCACUAUUGGAAUGUGCCUGAUGUUUUUCUUAUGUGCCCCUUCGCACCUUCCACCAUGAGCAGAAACAGCCUGAAGCCCUCACCAGAAGCAGACGCUGCACCAUGCUUCUUGUACCUGCACAACCAUGAGCCAAAUAAACCACCUUCUUUUCUUUAAAAAUUAUUCGACUUCAGGUAUUCCUUUAUAGUAACACAAAAAUGGACUAAGAAAAUGAACCAUGCUUACUACAAUUCCUCAGCAUCCAUGCUAAUCCACAACCCCUUCCCUCCCCCAGCUCCUUCAUUCCAAUGUGAAGUCUCUAGAAACUAGGUAUUUCACUGCAUCUGGCAAAGCAAUGCACAGUUUUAAGGUACAGGGCACUAUAGUACAAGCUACAAGAGAGAAAACCAGUUUCUGCCUGGUUUAUACUGGUCAAGAUAGUAUAAGAAAAGGUUGAAUCAAAACUGCCCUAACCCUAUUAAUAAUAUACUAGUAAUAUAAACAACAUAUUAAUAACAUGAAACUUGUCUAUUAAUUUACUUAAGGACCCAUUUCAAUAUCACUGGGAGUGGUUUCUUACUGUUAUGAACUUCUCUAAUAUUCACUCUUUUACCUUAUAGCACUCUUGGCUACCUCAAACUUUAAUUAUUUGCACAUAUUUUCUCUAUACUACUAAUAUACACUAUCUUCAUAUUAGUCUCUUUCUUGAGCCCAUCACCCAGUUUAUUAGGCCCUGGAGAAAUAUUUUUCAAUGUCUCCAUUGCAUAAUAUAGCAGUCUUCAACAUUCUCCUGAAGGAUAUGAAAAAUGAUGUUCACAGGAAAAACAUGCACUCAUAGAUAUGCUCAUAUUUUAGAAAAAAUAUUUUUUCAGACAAGUAAAGAACUGAGAUAAGCUAUUGGGGAACAUCAGUAACAAUGGCUGUAUGUGGGCUGCAACAUAAAGAAGACAAGUGCCAUUUAUAAGCAAUUCCCAAUAUUUUGAGUGGCACUUUCUGAGGUCCAGAAUCACAUAACCAAUUUUCUACUGAUAUCUCCACCCAUCAGUAACAAAAGCUUACCUUCAACCCCAAAGCUGCUUCCCGUGUCUUCUACUUCAGCAAAUGGCACUGUCGUGCAUACAACUUCUCAACCAAACACUUGGGAUUCAUCUUGGACCACUCCCCAUCUCAUACACCAUUCAUUUCUACUUAACCCCCAAGUCCUAAUGAUUUUUUCACUUAAUAUCUCUUGAACAUAUCCACUUCUUUUUAUCCCUUAAUCUCUUCCAUUUCUCA
rnacentral:lncRNA from 10 species